rnacentral:rRNA from 1 species
CCUACGGGAGGCAGCAGUAGGGAAUAUUGGUCAAUGGGGGAGACCCUGAACCAGCCAUGCCGCGUGCAGGAAGACGGCCUUCUGGGUUGUAAACUGCUUUUAUACGGGAAUAAAUAGCCCCUGCGGGGGAAGUUGCAUGUACCGUAUGAAUAAGCACCGGCUAACUCCGUGCCAGCAGCCGCGGUAAUACGGAGGGUGCAAGCGUUGUCCGGAUUUAUUGGGUUUAAAGGGUGCGUAGGCGGCCUGACAAGUCAGUGGUGAAAUCCUCCCGCUCAACGGGAGAACUGCCAUUGAAACUGUAAGGCUUGAGGACAGUCGAGGUAGGCGGAAUUUAUGGUGUAGCGGUGAAAUGCAUAGAUACCAUAAAGAACACCGAUAGCGAAGGCAGCUUACUAGACUGUAACUGACGCUGAGGCACGAAAGCGUGGGGAGCGAACAGGAUUAGAUACCCUGGUAGUCCACGCCGUAAACGAUGAUCACUGGAUGUAUGCGAUAGACUGUAUGCGUCUAAGCGAAAGCGUUAAGUGAUCCACCUGGGGAGUACGUCGGCAACGAUGAAACUCAAAGGAAUUGACGGG